CUGAAACCCUGCUACUCAGGGGAAAUUAGGAUCAGCUCUUGUCCAGUUCAAGCUGACUCCACUGAGCCUCCAAUGGCCUGUAUGAAUGCCCAAUGAGUGCCCUUUUGACAUCAGAAGGCCAAAAACUCCACCCUCAGAUUGUGCCAACGACACCAUCUUGCGAACGUGGAUCCUAUGAAAAGCCAUGAAGCUUAACUGCACUCGCACAGAUCAGCAAUUACCUCACUUUUCCUUACCACCAAUUAACUUUUUCCAUGCAUUGGACUGCCUUGCUCCUUUAUCCCACAAAUAUCCCUAAUGCCCCAACUUCAAGGAGGAGAAUUUGAGGGGUGUUAUCCCACCUCCUCACUUGGCUGCCUCAUGAAUAAAAUCUUUUCUCCACUGCAAAACUCAUUGUCUCAGUGAUUGGCUUACUGCAGGAUGGGCAGAAUGUGCCUGGUUUGGUAUCAGAGGAAUGACUGCAAAGAGGCAUGUUCUAUAUCUUAA
rnacentral:lncRNA from 10 species